rnacentral:rRNA from 1 species
CGUCUAUAUACGUAUAGCAUAUCAAUAAGCGGAGGAAAAGAAACUAACUAGGAUUCCCUUAGUAACGGCGAGUGAAGCGGGAAGAGCUCAAAUUUGAAAUCUUCAAGGUUCUACCUUGACGAAUUGUAGUUUAAAGAAGUGUUUUCUGUUGGAGUUUUUGGUAAAAGUUCUUUGGAAUAGGACAUCAUAGAGGGUGAGAAUCCCGUAUUUGACCAUUUCUUCCAGCUGUGUGAUACACUUUCAAAGAGUCGGAUUGUUUGGGAAUGCAGUCCAAAAUGGGUGGUAAAUUUCAUCUAAAGCUAAAUAUUGGCGAGAGACCGAUAGCGAACAAGUACCGUGAGGGAAAGAUGAAAAGAACUUUGAAAAGAGAGUUAAACAGUACGUGAAAUUGUCAAAAGGGAAGCGUUUGACACCAGUGUUGUUUUCUCGAAAAUCAAUUAAAAAUGGCCGGAUUUUGUGUUGUAUUGACUUUAUCAGCUUUCUGCACUUUUUUCUUGUCUUUUUUUAAUGCACUUUUCGUUUAACAAGUCAACAUCAAUUUCUUUUGUUGUAAAAGGGUCAUUGGAAGGUGGCUUUCUUUUCGGAGAAAGUGUUUAUAGCCUUUGGCUUCUGCAAUCGGAGAGAUUGAGGUCUGCAGCGUAGAUCCUUCGGGGUUAGAUACAUUUGUGCUAAGUUAUAGCCUUUCAUAGACAACUUGUUGACUAUGAUCAGUCAUGUAGCUUACUCGCUUAUGUUAUUUUACCUACGCUUAGGAUGUUGAUCUGUAGUGCGUGCGC